UCGAGCGAGAAUCUGAUGACGGAUCCUUCGGGUGACGGAUUCAGAGGACAGCGGCAGACGGGGUAGUCAUACAUAGGUUACGUACCCUCAGGUCUGGGAUAGCCACGGGAAACUGUGAUUAAUACUGGAUAAUCUCUAAGGAGCAAAGGUGUGAUUCCGCCUGAGGAGCGGCUUAUGCGUUACUAGGUUGUUGGUGAGGUAAUGGCUCACCAAGCCUUUGAUGACCAGGGGGUGUGAGAGCAUGACCCCCACCACUGGGACUGAGACACUGCCCAGACACCUACGGGUGGCUGCAGUCGAGAAUCUUCGGCAAUGGACGCAAGGUCUGACCGAGCGACGU
rnacentral:rRNA from 1 species